rnacentral:rRNA from 1 species
UACGUAGGGCGCAAGCGUUAUCCGGAAUUAUUGGGCGUAAAGAGCUCGUAGGUGGCGUGUCGCGUCUGCCGUGAAAGCCCAUGGCUUAACUGUGGGUCUGCGGUGGAUACGGGCAGGCUGGAGGCUGGUAGGGGCAAGCGGAAUUCCUGGUGUAGCGGUGAAAUGCGCAGAUAUCAGGAGGAACACCGGUGGCGAAGGCGGCUUGCUGGGCCAGUUCUGACGCUGAGGAGCGAAAGCGUGGGGAGCGAACAGG